UCCUACGGGAGGCAGCAGUGGGGAAUAUUGGACAAUGGGCGCAAGCCUGAUCCAGCCAUGCCGCGUGAGUGAUGAAGGCCCUAGGGUUGUAAAGCUCUUUCAGCGAGGAGGAUAAUGACGUUACUCGCAGAAGAAGCCCCGGCUAACUUCGUGCCAGCAGCCGCGGUAAUACGAAGGGGGCUAGCGUUGUUCGGAAUCACUGGGCGUAAAGCGCACGUAGGCGGACUUUUAAGUCAGGGGUGAAAUCCCGGGGCUCAACCCCGGAACUGCCUUUGAUACUGGAAGUCUUGAGUCCGAGAGAGGUGAGUGGAACUCCGAGUGUAAAGGUGAAAUUCGUAGAUAUCCGGAAAAACACCAGCGGCGAAGGCGGCUCACUGGUUUCGUACUGACCCUGAUGUGCCAAUUCUUGGGGAGCCAAUGGGAUUAUAUACCCUGGUAGUCCACCCCCCUAAACAUGGCAAAUCUACCCUUCC
rnacentral:rRNA from 1 species